rnacentral:rRNA from 1 species
CUCAAAUUUGAAUCUGGCUUCAUGGCGGCCUCCUGACCACUCGGAAGGCCGCGCCCUUUCCGCGCUGGUCUCGUAUAAAUUUGUCGGGCCGCUGACUCCGUGGGGAGGGUGAAGGUCGCUGGUUCAUCUCGAGCUCUGUGUCUUUAGGAUGAGCUCUCCCUCAAGAAACUUGGUUGUCAAGGCAGCUGGACAUGGAUUGGUAAAUUCCCUCUAAAGCUAAAUAUCUAGCAAGAGACCGAAGUUUCCCUCGGGAAGUGAGGGAAAGAUGAAAAGCACUUUGGAAAGAGAGUUAAACAGUACUUGAAAUUGCGGAAAAGGAAACGCUUGAAGUCAGUUGUGUAUGGCAGGACUCAGCCUCCCUUCUGCGGGGGGUACGGUCCGCUCCCGCCAGGCCAACAUCAAUUUUGCCCGUUGGAGAAAGACUUUGGGAAUAUGGCACCUGGGGGUGUGUUAUAGCCCUUAGUCUUAUGCAAGGGUUGGGAUUGAGGACCGCAGCACGCCUUUAUCUCCGGGGUUCGCCCACGUACUCGCUUAGGAUGUUGGCGUAAUGGCACUCACCGACCUUUCUUCAAACACGAUUCAUGGAGUCUAACAUGACUGCAAGUGUUUGGGUGGAAAACCCAUGCGCGUAAUGAAAGUGACAGCUGAGAUCUUCUCAUCAGGAUCAUCAACACCUGGACUUGAUCUACGGAGACGGUUCUACAGUAUAGCAUGUAUGUUGGGACCCCAAAAGAUGCUGAACUAUGCCUGAAUAGGGUGAACGCAAGAGGAAACUCUGGUGGGAGGCUUCGGAGCGGAGUGGGACAAGCAAAACCAUCGUCAUAUUU